rnacentral:rRNA from 1 species
AUACGGAGGGUGCAAGCGUUAUUCGGAAUCACUGGGCGUAAAGGGUGCGUAGGCGGUUUGAUAAGUCUGAUGUGAAAUCCUAUGGCGCAACCAUAGAACUGCAUUGGAAACUGUCAGACUAGAAUACUGAAGGGGCAGAUGGAAUUAGUGGUGUAGGGGUAAAAUCCGUAGAUAUCACUAGGAAUACCGAAAGCGAAAGCGAUCUGCUGGGAAGUUAUUGACGCUGAGGCACGAAAGCGUGGGGAGCAAACGGGAUUAGAUACCCUAGUAGUCC